GAACUGUUGAGGAGUCCCACAAUAGGACGAAACGGCCGUCCAGUUC
rnacentral:hammerhead_ribozyme from 1 species